CGUCACUCGCUCUGAGACCUUGAAGUAGUUGUUCCCCGCGGCUUUUGUGCCGCGAUGUGCAACGCUGUCUAUGUGUGCAAAGGGUCCCGGUUCGAGCCCAGGUAGGGGAAAAGAGGAGAGGGCUGGAAGCUAUACUGUUACACAAGGAAGAAGAAAUAUAAAACCACUAGAUAUUUACAGAAUUGAGACCAGGAAUGAAACAAAUGCGUGUUAAACUACACGGCCAAAGAGCAAAACCGAGGGACUCUCAUUUUCGUGCCGUUUUAUGGUAAACAAAGUAGUAGAUUACAUCCAGUCACAAGAAGGUUCACAUCAACGAUAACUAAAUGUGCCCAAUGUGUUUGCAAUAUGUAGCUCUCAGACAAACUUGGAACGGCACUCCUUGUUUGACAGCUGGAGGACCAAUGGAAAUAUCCAUCGACCCAGCUGCACUAUGGUGCAGCCAAUGAAAAAUAGAAUGUUACGGGUCCAAUUAUUUUGGCUGUUGUAAGCAGGCGGCCAGCGCUAAACUUCACCAAAUAAUAGCUGUUUGUAUUUUGGCUGCUGCAGUAGCCAUUUUAGGUAAGUAGGUAUUUUAACUGUUUUUAAUCUGUGUUGUAUUGCAGGGUCCUGUGUUGUGGUGCGGUGGUUGGUGAGUCUCAAACUUGUGCAUCCCUCAUGAAUGAACUCAUCUGCUCGUGUGCUUUAUGAGGAUUAAGAAAUUGCACGGAGGCCCCCUCCCCAUCUCACACCCCGUCUAUUUUUUUUAAUGCAUUUUUCUAAACUGUCAUGGCGUUUUUGUGUCCUUGGAAAUAAAUGCAGGGAGAAAGCGCAGUGUUCGGCAACUGAUGCUCUGACCGGUGAGUGUUGCCCAGGUAGGUCGAUUAUUCCUGUGGAAUUUUGGUGGAGCCAAUAUGCCGCACAACUACACCAGGUCUAACAGAAAACAAAGACCCUGGUCGCACAGAUC
rnacentral:lncRNA from 1 species